GAUGAACGCUGGCGGCGUGCCUAAUACAUGCAAGUCGAACGAAACUUCUUUAUCACCGAGUGCUUGCACUCACCGAUAAAGAGUUGAGUGGCGAACGGGUGAGUAACACGUGGGCAACCUGCCCAAAAGAGGGGGAUAACACUUGGAAACAGGUGCUAAUACCGCAUAACCAUAGUUACCGCAUGGUAACUAUGUAAAAGGUGGCUAUACUACCGCUUUUUGAUGGGCCCGCGGCGCAUUAGCUAGUUGGUAGGGUAAAGGCUUACCAAGGCAAUGAUGCGUAGCCGAAUUGAGAGGUUGAUCGGCCACAUUGGGACUGAGACACGGCCCAAACUCCUACGGGAGGCAGCAGUAGGGAAUCUUCCACAAUGGGCGAAAGCCUGAUGGAGCAACGCCGCGUGGGUGAAGAAGGUCUUCGGAUCGUAAAACCCUGUUGUUAGAGAAGAAAGUGCGUGAGAGUAACUGUUCACGUUUCGACGGUAUCUAACCAGAAAGCCACGGCUAACUACGUG
rnacentral:rRNA from 1 species